AUUGAAUGGCUUGGCUAUGUGUAGCAUUGAAAAGGAUAUUUUGGAUGACACUUAAUCUGGAUACAGUUCUUGUAGAUUUUGCAUCAAGAAAUGUCCGAAGUCAGUUUUUUACAAGGAACUGAAGUAUUAUAUUUUUAUUUGAGAUGCCCUUCAUGGAGAAAUUCACUGUGUAGCUCGACUGCCCGAGUCCUCCCAGGGUUAUCCUGUCGGCUGCAGGCUCAUGUUUUUUGUUGGCGUGUGAUUGGAGCAGCUGCUCCGGUCAUGUCGUGCGGCGUUUGCCCACAAGGCUGCGGCAACAGCACGGCGGCUCCGGCUAGGACACGCCACGGCUCCGGCUGGGAUGCGCAGGGAGCGACUUGAAUUCUUGGGAAGUGGAGUAUCGGCCGAGAAAGAAAUCAAAACAACCUGGCGCAGGAACGCAAGCGAUCAAGAUGUGCAAAAUGCCUCAUAGGUUAUGUUGUUGUUUGAAAUAUGCUAGUUGGUCAUCUAUUUAUUUACUUGGCUGGAAUCUUUUUCUUAUCCGAGUCCUAUAAUUUUAUUUAUUGAUCGGUACCUUUUCAAGUACACACAUAUAUAUAUGCUAUAGAAUAUGAAAUAUUUUAAUAAUUGUGUUAAGCCAAGCCAGGUUAUGUUGUCA